AACUCUCAGCAACGGAUAUCUCGGCUCUCGCAUCGUUGAAGAACGUAGCGAAAUGCGAUACCAGGUGUGAAUUGUAGAAUCCUGUGAACCAUCGAGUCUUUGAAUGAAGUUGUACCUCAAGCCAUUAGGCUGAGGUCAUCUCUGCGUGGGUUACA